rnacentral:rRNA from 1 species
GACGAACGCUGGCGGCGUGCCUAAUACAUGCAAGUAGAACGCAGUUGCGAACGGGUGAGUAACGCGUAGGUAACCUGCCUCAUUGCGGGGGAUAACUAUUGGCAACGAUAGCUAAUACCUCAUACUGUGAGAUGGACCUGCGUUGUAUUAGCUAGUUGGUGAGGUAAAGUCUCACCAAGGCGACGAUACAUAGCCGACCUGAGAGGUGGAUCGGCCACACUGGGACGUAGCAACGGUCCAGACUCCUACGGGAGGCAGCAGUGGGGAAUAUUGCACAAUGGGCGCAAGCCUACUGCAGCCAUGCCGCGUGUAUGAAGAAGGACUUCGGGUUGUAAAGUACUUUCAGCGGGGAGAGUUACCCGCAGAAGAAGCACCGGCUAACUCCGUGCCAGCCGCCGCGGUAAUAC